rnacentral:lncRNA from 10 species
CUGUUAAUUUUAAGACUAAGCGAAAGGCUAGAGUGGCUGAUCUUAUAAGGCAUUUGGUAUUGAGAAAAGAGAGGACAUUGACUCUUCAUGAUUUCCAGUGAUCUCUGUUUCCAGGGAGACCGACUUGCACCCCAGCUCUGAUACUAGUGAUGCCUUUCACAUUUCAGGUGUCAAGCCCAGAUUUUGCUCACAUCACUUCUUUCCAUAUGGAAAUCCUACAUACCCUUUAAGGCCUAGGUCACAUGUAAUCUCUUCCAGUUUCCUGGUC